rnacentral:rRNA from 1 species
AGAGUUUGAUCCUGGCUCAGGAUGAACGCUAGCGGCAGGCCUAACACAUGCAAGUCGAGGGAGGAGCUUUCGGGCUUCGACCGGCGUACGGGUGCGUAACGCGUAUACAAUCUGCCUUUCACAUAGGGAUAGCCCGAAGAAAUUUGGAUUAAUACCUAAUGGUAUAUAGGAGUGGCAUCACAUUUAUAUUAAAGCUGAGGCGGUGAAAGAUGAGUAUGCGUUCUAUUAGCUAGUUGGAGAGGUAACGGCUCCCCAAGGCUACGAUAGAUAGGGGUUCUGAGAGGGAUAUCCCCCACACUGGUACUGAGAUACGGACCAGACUCCUACGGGAGGCAGCAGUGAGGAAUAUUGGACAAUGGUCGGAAGACUGAUCCAGCCAUGCCGCGUGCAGGAAGACGGCCUUAUGGGUUGUAAACUGCUUUUGCAGGGGAAGAAUAAGGAGUACGUGUACUUUGAUGACGGUACUCUGCGAAUAAGCAUCGGCUAACUCCGUGCCAGCAGCCGCGGUAAUACGGAGGAUGCGAGCGUUAUCCGGAAUCAUUGGGUUUAAAGGGUCCGUAGGCGGGCUAAUAAGUCAGAGGUGAAAGCGCUCAGCUCAACUGAGCAACUGCCUUUGAAACUGUUAGUCUUGAAUGGUUGUGAAGUAGUUGGAAUGUGUAGUGUAGCGGUGAAAUGCUUAGAUAUUACACAGAACACCGAUAGCGAAGGCAUAUUACUAACAAUUAAUUGACGCUGAUGGACGAAAGCGUGGGGAGCGAACAGGAUUAGAUACCCUGGUAGUCCACGCU